rnacentral:tRNA from 1 species
GGUUUGUAGCUCAGUGGUGGAGCGCUUGCCUAGCACAUGUGAGGCCCUGGGUUCAAUUCUCAGCACCA